rnacentral:lncRNA from 1 species
UCUUCGCGGACAAUUGGAAGUGGCUUUUAUCACUUUGGACCUGAUGGCUAAAGAAAGGAGCCAUAUACCUCCAGAAGACUACUCCCUUGGCCAUAAGAGAGAACAUUGGAAGGACCAUUCAAGCAAAUCAUGGAAGACACCUAACAGAGUGUCAGCAAAUGUUUAUUAAACUACAUUAAUUGACUGAUCCCAUAACACUUAAAAGACCUAUUAGAGAGGUGGAGUCAAGUCCAGGAAGAAACACCACCAAAAGGUAUAGUGAUUUAUAUUUCUCAUGUACGCUUAAAAAGAUCACUCUGAUUCUAAAAAUGGUGAAUAUUUAUUGUAGAAGAUUUUUUAAAUAAAGGAAGAAAUGAAGAAUAUAAAAAUGAUGUA